UACGUAGGGUGCAAGCGUUAAUCGGAAUUACUGGGCGUAAAGCGUGCGCAGGCGGUUGCGCAAGACCGAUGUGAAAUCCCCGGGCUUAACCUGGGAAUGGCAUUGGUGACUGCACGGCUAGAGUGUGUCAGAGGGGGGUAGAAUUCCACGUGUAGCAGUGAAAUGCGUAGAGAUGUGGAGGAAUACCGAUGGCGAAGGCAGCCCCCUGGGCCAGCACUGACGCUCAUGCACGAAAGCGUGGGGAGCAAACAGG
rnacentral:rRNA from 1 species